UGGACGCUAGCGGUGCGCCUAACACAUGCAAGUCGAGCGUGAUUAUUUUGUAGCUUGCUAUAAAAUAUGAAAGCGGCGAACGGGUGAGUAACACGUUGGUAUCUGCCCUUUGGUCAGGGAUAGCCAUCCGAAAGGAUGAUUAAUACCGGAUAGUCUCGAAAGAGUAAAGAUUUAUCGCCAGAGGAGGAACCUGCGGCCUAUCAGCUAGUUGGUGAGGUAAAAGCUCACCAAGGCUAUGACGGGUAGCUGAUCUGAGAGGAUGAUCAGCCACAAUGGAACUGAGACACGGUCCAUACUCCUACGGGAGGCAGCAGUGAGGAAUCUUCCACAAUGGGCGCAAGCCUGAUGGAGCGACGACCGCGUGAACGGAUGAAGAUCUAACGAUUGUAAACUCUUUUCUGAGGGAGCAUAAUGAGAGUACCUCAGGAAUAAGGGACGGCUAAAUACGUGCCAGCAGCCGCG
rnacentral:rRNA from 1 species